rnacentral:rRNA from 1 species
AACGAACGCUGGCGGCAGGCCUAACACAUGCAAGUCGAGCGCCCCGCAAGGGGAGCGGCGGACGGGUGAGUAACACGUGGGAAUUUUCCUCAAGGUACGGAACAACUCAGGGAAACUUGGGCUAAUACCGUAUGAUGCAGAGAUGCCAAAGAUUUAUCGCCUUGGGAUAAGCCCGCGUCAGAUUAGGUAGUUGGUGGGGUAACGGCCUACCAAGCCUGCGAUCUGUAGCUGGUCUGGGAGGACGAUCAGCCACACUGGGACUGAGACACGGCCCAGACUCCUACGGGAGGCAGCAGUGGGGAAUCUUGCGCAAUGGGCGAAAGCCUGACGCAGCCAUGCCGCGUGAAUGAUGAAGGUCUUAGGAUUGUAAAGUUCUUUCGCUCGUGACGAUGAUGACGGUAACGAGAGAAGAAGCCCCGGCUAACUUCGUGCCAGCCGCCGCAGUAACAC